CAUCUCUAAUCAUUCUCCCAACCAAAAUCCCGCAUCAUGCUAAUUUUCUGGAUCUGUAAAGGAAAAAUAUAAAACUCAUCAUGAGCUAAAUAGUCCAGUAAGCAGUGUAUACCUUUAACUGAAUAAAUUAGACAAUAAUACUGUACAUAUCGGUUUACUGAUAAUAACAUAAUCAAUAUAUAAAUUUAUAAAUUUAUAAUUUAAUUCAUCACAUUAUCAAUCAU
rnacentral:lncRNA from 1 species